CCCUUCCUGCUAUAAUAAUAAUAAUAAUUUUACAGUCGUUCAGCUGAUUACAGCAAUAGACAAAGUCAACAGCAUAUAUUUCUACAUAAACUACUAUAUCGAUGUAAAUUGGUUUACAUAAAAUAGGUACACGUUAGAAUACGGUAUUUUCAUCUUCAAAGAAUUCGUCAGUGGUGUAAAACGGAUUGUUCACUAGUAGCUUGUAUAAUUUAGCUUUAAAGAUAUUUACAGGCAGUUCUUUAAAGUCAGCACUUAGUCUAUUAAACAUCCUUAGUCCAAGAACUAGAGGGCCGUGCCCCCCCAGAGUGUGCCCCAACUGUCUGCGACUAGUGUAAUCUAUGGAAUAGUGCGAAUGUGUUCAGAUGUGUGCGAGCAGUGUAACUGAGGCGGGACAUGGGGACCAGCACGGUAUUCACCUAGUGGGAUGUAGAAAACCACCUAAAAACCACAUCCAGGCUGGCCAGCACACUGGGCGGAUUCGAUCCGGGGCCAGCACACCUACCUGAGUCCAGAAGUAGCGCAUUAGCACUCUUGGCUAACCUGGCAGAACACGUUUACUGGUCAUCUCCUCUUCAAGAACAGGGACAUUUCCUGGUCACCAAGAUCCGCUAACUUUUCGGCAUGUGGUAUCUUUCUUUGGGGUCAUUUAAAAUAUCAAAUCUUCUGGUGUGGCCCACGACACACCAUCCAUGAACUGACGGUUAUCCAAUUUAAUCUAAUUCUGGUGCUAGUGCUGCAAAAUAUGAUGUCUAACUUCCAUAAAAUACUUGAAAAGUGUAUGAAGGAAAAUGGUGGCCAUCUACAUGAUAUCAUUUUCAAGAGAUAGUAUUUUAAAAAGAAAGCAUUGUAAAUUCAUGCUAUAUUUCUUUUAUAUCACUGUGAACAAAUCUGUAUCGCAGGUGGAGGUUUCAAAACUGCCAAUUUCUCUACCACACCUGUUACAGUAUUUUGAUAAAUAAUGGCCACCACAUAAAUACAGAAUUUGUUGACGAAAAUUUCUGAUACCCUGAUCCACUUCAUUGCAAAUAUUGUUCUCUGUCUAUUGUCUGUUUAAAGGGCAACAUAUAAUCAUUCCUGUGGUACCACAAGUAAGUCAGCUAUUUUGGGUAUUGAAGCAUGAAAAAUAGAGUUGGUUUUCUGUUGUGAUGCUGAGUAAAUAUAUAUAUCUAAAAACAAAGAUGAUGUGACUUACCAAAAGCGCUGGCAGGUCAAUAGACACACAAACAAACACAAACAUACACACAAAAU